UUUUAAUGGCUUAUUUAGAGUAUAAUAUUGAAGAUUUUAAGGAAGUAAAUUUACUUUAAAAUAUU
rnacentral:tRNA from 1 species